rnacentral:rRNA from 1 species
AUUGAACGCUGGCGGCAGGCCUAACACAUGCAAGUCGAACGAGUGGCGGACGGGUGAGUAAUGUAUGGGAAACUGCCCGAUAGAGGGGGAUAACUACUGGAAACGGUGGCUAAUACCGCAUACUAUCGGAUGAACCCAUAUGGGAUUAGCUAGUAGGUGGGGUAAAGGCUCACCUAGGCGACGAUCCCUAGCUGGUCUGAGAGGAUGACCAGCCACACUGGAACUGAGACACGGCCCAGACUCCUACGGGAGGCAGCAGUGGGGAAUAUUGCACAAUGGGCGCAAGCCUGAUGCAGCCAUGCCGCGUGUAUGAAGAAGGCCUUAGGGUUGUAAAGUACUUUCAGCGGGGAGGCGUUACUCGCAGAAGAAGCACCGGCUAACUCCGUGCCAGCAGCCGCGGUAAUAC